rnacentral:rRNA from 1 species
AUGGGGCAGCCAUGGGGCAACCUGUGCGAUUUCGGGAUGCGACGGCGGCACGGCAGCAGCGUAGGAAGCAACGUCAUAGUUCGGUGCCGAUGCAGAUACUUUAGAGGAACCAGCGCCAUGGGCCAGCCGGAACUGUUGGGUACCAGGGGCCAGCAACAGCGGCUGGGCGAAGCCAGAUGCAGGUUGCCAACUCAUCCAAAAGUCCGAACUGAUGAAGGAAGGGGUUACGAUGUCUCUGCUCCGGCGCUCAUGGAGUUCUUGAUGCAGCUGUGCAACAGUAGAACGCUCAUAGAGGAAGUGAAUGACAGUGACGUACCCAUGGAGCCUUUGCAUUAUCCUGUUUUGUCAGCGGCGGCUGGCGAGGUGCCGGCGACGAGUGCUUCCAGUGUGGAGGCGCGGAUCUGUGCAGCGGUGGCUGUAACACCAGGAGGGAGUGCAGAUAGGCCGCAAGUAUCUGAACACUCGAUAGAGCAAACUGAUCCACAGACGCCCGGCUAG